ACACCAACACGCUCACACACGCACAGAGUUCAGCCGAUUUAUCAUAAUAUGCUUUAUCUGAAAAGUAAGUAUCUUACCUCGGGAUAAAGGGAGGAUAGUGUGGCUUGUAGUCAGAUUGGCAGAGGAAGGGAGAGGAUGGAGGGAGCGAGUCGGCUGGUCCAAAGGGAGGACAUGAAGGACCUGUUUGGAACAGAUUAUGACUGAUAAGAUACAGGGACCCAUACGCCGACACAAUGGGGAAGUGUUGUAUCCAGGAACCUAGGUCUCUACGGCACUGGGAGAUAUGAUUGACAGAUGGACCUGGAAGGACCACCAUCAUACAUAGAUGAAGGGAUGGAUGGAUGAACAGGUCCGGUCACUGUGUCUACCAACUCUGCACCCCUGAAUAGUCCAGAGAGCCACAAGCCCUCGCAGUGAACCAAGGUGCUCCAGUGAAUACGGAGAGAGGGCCUGGAUGGGAGGGCUGCAGGGGUUUCUCAUGGUCUCACUUAGAAGGAAAUGUUACUUAGAAUGAAUUGUCAAAGCUUCUUUCAGUAGUGUUGAUCCUAAUUGAACUGUCUGCAAACAAGCAAACAGAUUCCGAUUUAAGUGGAUAACACCAUUUGGAUUUAUCGACAUGAAGCUGAAACCCAGCGAUACUCAGGUUACGUUUCAUAUAUUGUACUGAACAAAAAUAUAAACG